rnacentral:rRNA from 2 species
AACUUUCAGCAACGGAUCUCUUGGCUCUCGCAUCGAUGAAGAACGCAGCGAAAUGCGAUAAGUAAUGUGAAUUGCAGAAUUCAGUGAAUCAUCGAAUCUUUGAACGCACCCUUGCGCCCUUUGGCUAUUCCGAAGGGCAUGCCUGUUUGAGUAUCAUG